GUCUACGGCCAUGCUACCCUGAACAAGCCCGAUCCCGUCUGAUCUCGGAAACUAAGCAGAGUUGGACCUGGUUAGUACUUGGAUGGGAGACCACCUAGGAAGACCAGGUGCUGUCAGUG
rnacentral:rRNA from 1 species